rnacentral:lncRNA from 1 species
GGUUGUCAAUGAUUCACAAUCAUUAAUAUUGAGGAUUCCCUCUUUACUUAACCUGUUCAUCCUGUUCUUGUUAAUAUGACCUAGCCUAUGAUGCCAAAGGUAGACAUCCGUGACAUAUCUAUUCUAGGGUGCUUACUUGACGUGUACAUUACAUUAACAGGUUGUGAUAACAAGUAGAUGCCAUUGCUCAAUCGUCCAUUUAUUACAAUAACACCAUUCAUAAUGAUAUCACAAGAACAUUUCUUUAUUGAAAUUUCAUAACCGUUCAUGGCCAAAAGGCCUACGAAAAUUACAUUCAAUAAGAAC